rnacentral:rRNA from 1 species
AUACUGUGAGCUCGAUGAGUAGGGCGGGACACGUGGUAUCCUGUCUGAAUAUGGGGGGACCAUCCUCCAAGGCUAAAUACUCCUGACUGACCGAUAGUGAACCAGUACCGUGAGGGAAAGGCGAAAAGAACCCCGGCGAGGGGAGUGAAAAAGAACCUGAAACCGUGUACGUACAAGCAGUGGGAGCACGCUUAGGCGUGUGACUGCGUACCUUUUGUAUAAUGGGUCAGCGACUUAUAUUCUGUAGCAAGGUUAACCGAAUAGGGGAGCCGAAGGGAAACCGAGUCUUAACUGGGCGUUAAGUUGCAGGGUAUAGACCCGAAACCCGGUGAUCUAGCCAUGGGCAGGUUGAAGGUUGGGUAACACUAACUGGAGGACCGAACCGACUAAUGUUGAAAAAUUAGCGGAUGACUUGUGGCUGGGGGUGAAAGGCCAAUCAAACCGGGAGAUAGCUGGUUCUCCCCGAAAGCUAUUUAGGUAGCGCCUCGUGAAUUCAUCUCCGGGGGUAGAGCACUGUUUCGGCAAGGGGGUCAUCCCGACUUACCAACCCGAUGCAAACUGCGAAUACCGGAGAAUGUUAUCACGGGAGACACACGGCGGGUGCUAACGUCCGUCGUGAAGAGGGAAACAACCCAGACCGCCAGCUAAGGUCCCAAAGUCAUGGUUAAGUGGGAAACGAUGUGGGAAGGCCCAGACAGCCAGGAUGUUGGCUUAGAAGCAGCCAUCAUUUAAAGAAAGCGUAAUAGCUCACUGGUCGAGUCGGCCUGCGCGGAAGAUGUAACGGGGCUAAACCAUGCACCGAAGCUGCGGCAGCGACGCUGAUGCGUUGUUGGGUAGGGGAGCGUUCUGUAAGCCUGUGAAGGUGUGCUGUGAGGCAUGCUGGAGGUAUCAGAAGUGCGAAUGCUGACAUAAGUAACGAUAAAGCGGGUGAAAAGCCCGCUCGCCGGAAGACCAAGGGUUCCUGUCCAACGUUAAUCGGGGCAGGGUGAGUCGACCCCUAAGGCGAGGCCGAAAGGCGUAGUCGAUGGGAAACAGGUUAAUAUUCCUGUACUUGGUGUUACUGCGAAGGGGGGACGGAGAAGGCUAUGUUGGCCGGGCGACGGUUGU